CUUUUAAGUGUGGCGUUAUAUAUGAGAUGAUCAUUAAUGAAGCCCUUAUCUAUAUUCUUAUUUUUCUAUCAAUAAAUAGUUGGGCCAAGUAAAGCCCUUUUCCAAUAAAACUAAAAAAAAAAUCAUACAUAUUUUUCUCUCUAUCCUCUCACCGGCCGGAGUUAGACCUCGCCGGAGUUAUCCAAAUAACCUCUAAUUUUUUUAUAUCAUCUUUGGUGAUAAGCUGGUUGGAAUGUUUGAUUCCUCAGUUUGAUCCAUCAAUUUUUAGAUUCAUACAUCUUUAGGGUUUUUUAAUCUGUGCAACAAUGAAAAGUGAAUGGAGGAUUAUGGGAACGGCGAUGAAGAUAUAUAUUCAUCUGAUCGAGAAUCUAAGAACUAACUUGAGAAUGAGGAGGUUGAUUCUCAAUGGGGCUUUUCCACAGAAAAUUCAUGCAAGGUUCAACACGAAAAGCGAAAUAAGUGAACUAAAAUUUUAGUUCAUAAAGAAAAAUUCUAGGAAUAUUGAAGCACCUUGCAGGAAUUUCCUGUGGAAGAGUCUCAUUGAGAAUCACCUUCUCAUUCUCGAGUCCAUUGUAAGAUUCUUGAUCAGACGAAUAUAUACCUUUGUCACUGCUCUCAUAAUCCUCCAUUCACUUAUCGCCACUACAUAGAUUAAAACCCUCCAGAAAAUAAUGUAUGUUCGAUAAACUGAUGGAUCAAAGUGAGAAUUUGAGCGAUCGAAUCACCUUCUUACCCAAGAUGAUAUAGAAAAAUAGAGUUUCCUUGAGUAAAAUUAUUAUUUUUCUGUCGAGGUAUAUCUCCAACUGUGGAGAGGAUACAGACUCCACGUAGAGAAGUCAAAAGAAGAACACCUUGUUUUAUUGGAUAGAACAUUGACCCGCUAGUUGGAUGAGCAACCAGAGAAGUCAAAAGAAGAACACCUUGUUCUAUUCGAUAGGACAUUGAUCUGUUGGGCUGGAUGAGCAACCUUCUAUCUUAUAUCUGUACAAAUAGUAGAGUGACUUGCUACUUCUAAUAAGAAAAAGAAGAUUAAGCAAUACAAAGAAACAAGAAGUUGUCCCCUUGCAAGAAAAGAAAUCAAUGAAAUAGUACAAAAAUUCUUUUUUUUUUGCAACGUCAUAUGUCUGUUCUUACUUUAAUUGUAAUAAUAUUUGCCUUUAAUUUGACUAUUUAAUAAUAUAGCACAUAAAAAAGAGUCCUAAUUUGCUAUAAUUCUUAUUUACAAUAACCUAAAGUGUACAUUUAUCUAUGCAUUAUUAUUAAAAGAAAAUAUGUUUUUUUUUC